rnacentral:rRNA from 1 species
UACGAAGGGGGCUAGCGUUGCUCGGAAUCACUGGGCGUAAAGGGUGCGUAGGCGGAUCUUUAAGUCAGGGGUGAAAUCCUGGAGCUCAACUCCAGAACUGCCUUUGAUACUGGGGAUCUCGAGUCCGGGAGAGGUGAAUGGAACUGCGAGUGUAGAGGUGAAAUUCGUAGAUAUUCGCAAGAACACCAGUGGCGAAGGCGGCUCACUGGCCCGGUACUGACGCUGAGGUGCGAAAGCGUGGGGAGCAAACAGG